rnacentral:rRNA from 1 species
GGGGAAUAUUGGACAAUGGGNGCAAGCCUGAUCCAGCAAUNCCGCGUGUGUGAAGAAGGCCUGCGGGUUGUAAAGCACUUUCAAUUGUGAAGGAAAAGCUAAAGGGUUAAUACCUCUUAGCCUUGACGUAACUUAGAAGAGCACCGG